rnacentral:rRNA from 1 species
CGAGUGCGAGGGCAUACAGUCCUCGCUUUUGUGUACCGUAAGGUGGUACACGAAUAAGAGCUGGGCAAGACCGGUGCCAGCCGCCGCGGUAAUACCGGCAGCUCAAGUGAUGGCCGCUGUUAUUGGGCCUAAAGCGUCCGUAGCUGGCCGCACAAGUCCGUUGGGAAAUCCACCCGCCUAACGGGUGGGCGUCCGGCGGAAACUGUGCGGCUUGGGACCGGAAGACUCGAGGGGUACGUCCGGGGUAGGAGUGAAAUCCUGUAAUCCUGGACGGACCGCCGGUGGCGAAAGCGCCUCGAGAGGACGGAUCCGACAGUGAGGGACGAAAGCUAGGGUCUCGAACCGGAUUAGAUACCCGGGUAGUCCUAGCCGUAAACGAUGCUCGCUAGGUGUGGCGCAGGCUACAAGCCUGCGCUGUGCCGUAGGGAAGCCGUGAAGCGAGCCGCCUGGGAAGUACGUCCGCAAGGAUGAAACUUAAAGGAAUUG